rnacentral:rRNA from 1 species
GAUGAACGCUGGCGGCGUGCCUAAUACAUGCAAGUCGAGCGAAUGGAUUAAGAGCUUACUCUUAUGAAGUUAGCGGCGGACGGGUGAGUAACACGUGGGUAACCUGCCCAUAAGACUGGGAUAACUCCGGGAAACCGGGGCUAAUACCGGAUAACAUUUUGAACCGCAUGGUUCGAAAUUGAAAGGCGGCUUCGGCUGUCACUUAUGGAUGGACCCGCGUCGCAUUAGCUAGUUGGUGAGGUAACGGCUCACCAAGGCAACGAUGCGUAGCCGACCUGAGAGGGGGAUCGGCCAGACUGGGACUGGAAAACGGCCCAGACUCCUACGGGAGGCAGCAGUAGGGAAUCUUCCGCAAUGGACGAAAGUCUGACGGAGCAACGCCGCGUGAGUGAUGAAGGCUUUCGGGUCGUAAAACUCUGUUGUCAGGGAAGAACAAGUGCUAGUUGAAUAAGCUGACACCUUGACGGUACCUAACCAGAAAGCCACGGCUAACUACGUGCCAGCAGCCGCGGUAA